CCCUAUGGGUUGUAAACUGCUUUUUUACCGGAAGAAACCUACUUACGUGUAAGUAGCUGACGGUCCGUACGAAUAAGGACCGGCUAACUCCGUGCCAGCAGCCGCGGUAAUACGGAGGGUCCGAGCGUUAUCCGGAAUCAUUGGGUUUAAAGGGUCCGUAGGCGGGCCUGUAAGUCAGGGGUGAAAGGCCACGGCUCAACCGUGGGACUGCCCUUGAUACUGCAGGUCUUGAGUUACAGUGGGGUUGCCGGAAUAUGUGGUGUAGCGGUGAAAUGUAUAGAUAUCACAUAGAACACCUACCGCGAAGGCAGGUGACCAACUGUAUACUGACGCUGAUGGACGAAAGCGUGGGGAGCGAACGGGAUUAGAUACCCCGGUAGUCCACGCCGUAAACGAUGGAUACUAGCUGUGGGACUUCGGUUCCGUGGCCAAGCGAAAGUGAUAAGUAUC
rnacentral:rRNA from 1 species